rnacentral:misc_RNA from 1 species
AAGUUAGUGGUUUAAUGUUAAUAAUUCAAUUACUUGGGGGGUUAAAGGAGAUAUCCUUGAAUUAAUUAGUGGGUUAUUUUUAUCAUCUUUUAUACUUAAUUAUAUGACAAUUAGGGUAAAAGAAAAAGGGUUUGAAUAAGAAAAAUAGAAAGAACAGAGAGAAAGGGAGAAACGAACGAGAGAAGGGAGAACGAAGAGGAAAACAAAAAGGCUUGGGAAAUAGAUUGCUUGAUCACGAUUCUUCGGUGGAGGUAGGUUAUG